UACGUGAGGGGGCUAGCGUUGUCCGGAAUCAUUGGGCGUAAAGCGCGUGUAGGCGGUCCGGUAAGUCCGCUGUGAAAGUCGGGGGCUCAACCCUCGGAUGCCGGUGGAUACUGUCGGGCUUGAGUACGGAAGAGGCGAGUGGAAUUCCUGGUGUAGCGGUGAAAUGCGCAGAUAUCAGGAGGAACACCAAUUGCGAAGGCAGCUCGCUGGGACGUUACUGACGCUGAGACGCGAAAGCGUGGGGAGCAAACAGG
rnacentral:rRNA from 1 species